AUGUAUCUAGAACUAAAAUACAUCUUAGAUACAUCCAUACUUGUGACAAGUAAUUCGAAACGGAGGGAGUAUUAUAUACCGAACGAACGCAUGGACGACGACGACCGGACCAAGGCCGGGGCGAACGUUCCGACGGACCGAUCCGCCAACUUGCAGUGCUCUUCCACGCGAGGUCGGCACAGACGCUUGUCCCGGCGGAGAUGGCACGCACGCCACGGACUUUCCCGCCAACUUGUGUGUCGCAUGCAGUUUGCAAGUGGUUCCAAGCAAGGUAGGCGCCAGUGGAACAUGGCACGGCCGUGCUCACGUAUUUUUCAUCUUCUUCGACGGAGACCGAGGACGAGGAGGGCCGACCAAACGUGCAGUACCCUGAGGCACGCCCGUCACCUGUAUUCAAUUCGUGGAACUGGAACCUUCAGUUGGAAGAGCCAGGGGAGGUAG
rnacentral:rRNA from 1 species